UCAACACAACAUACCUCAGGCAAGUAACAUUGCAUAUUUAGACUGCAAAUAUCUAUAAUCCUUUCAGACUCUGAGAGGGAACUGGAGUCAGGUAGAGCUCCUAGAUAAAACAAUUGAAAACUAAGUAUUAUUUGAGAUGCACAUACAGCCUUACUUUGCAUAUAUGGUAGGCAAAAUUCUAAGAUGGCACCAACAUUAUCACCUUUUGGUGUAGAGGUCCUGUAUAACUCCCUUCUCUUGAGUGUGGGUGAGACCUUUGAAUCUGGUGUGAUAUCACUCCAGUGAAAAGGUGAAAAGAUUUUGUAGAAGUAAUUAAGGUCCCAAGUUAGUUAAUACUGAGUUAAUUCAAAAGGAGAUUAUCCUUUUGUAGAAGUAAUUAAGGUCCUGAGUUAGUUAAUACUGAGUUAAUUCAAAAGGAGAUUAUCCUGAGUCGGCUAGACUUAAUCAGGUGAGAGUCCCUAGAAGAGGGACUGGACCCAUCCUGAAGAAAGAGAUGCUUUCCUGCUGCUCUUGAAGAAGCAAAUAGCCAUGUUAGAAACUGCCUAUGGAGACAAGUGGCCUCUGGGAGCUGAUAGCCUUCAUCCUUCAGCCCAAAGGAACUAAAAAGUGGUAAAAUGCUGGGAAUCUUAAUUCUCUCAACAAUCUUUAUAAUUUUGGAAGAUGACCCUGAGCUCCAGAUGAGAAUUCACUCCAGCCAACACCUUUUAUAUCUUCAGUCCUAUAAAUAUACAUAUAUAAAUAUUCUAAUGAAGAAAAAAUACCAUUUUCAAA
rnacentral:lncRNA from 10 species